UUGAACGCUGGCGGCAUGCCUUACACAUGCAAGUCGAACGGCAGCACGGGAGCAAUCCUGGUGGCGAGUGGCGAACGGGUGAGUAAUGUAUCGGAACGUACCUUUCAGUGGGGGAUAACGUAGCGAAAGUUACGCUAAUACCGCAUAUUCUGUGAGCAGGAAAGCGGGGGAUCGCAAGACCUCGCGCGAUUGGAGCGGCCGAUAUCGGAUUAGCUAGUUGGUGAGGUAAAGGCUCACCAAGGCGACGAUCCGUAGCGGGUCUGAGAGGACGACCCGCCACACUGGAACUGAGACACGGUCCAGACUCCUACGGGAGGCAGCAGUGGGGAAUUUUGGACAAUGGGGGAAACCCUGAUCCAGCCAUUCCGCGUGAGUGAAGAAGGCCUUCGGGUUGUAAAGCUCUUUCAGCAGGAACGAAACGGUCGGCUUUAAUAAAGUCGGCUAAUGACGGUACCUGCAGAAGAAGCACCGGCUAACUACGU
rnacentral:rRNA from 1 species